rnacentral:rRNA from 1 species
AGUGAACGCUGGCGGUAGGCCUAACACAUGCAAGUCGAACGGCAGCACAGUAAGAGCUUGCUCUUACGGGUGGCGAGUGGCGGACGGGUGAGGAAUACAUCGGAAUCUACUUUUUCGUGGGGGAUAACGUAGGGAAACUUACGCUAAUACCGCAUAUGACCUACGGGUGAAAGCAGGGGAUCUUCGGACCUUGCGCGAUUGAAUGAGCCGACGUCGGAUUAGCUAGUUGGCGGGGUAAAGGCCCACCAAGGCGACGAUCCGUAGCUGGUCUGAGAGGAUGAUCAGCCACACUGGAACUGAGACACGGUCCAGACUCCUACGGGAGGCAGCAGUGGGGAAUAUUGGACAAUGGGCGCAAGCCUGAUCCAGCCAUACCGCGUGGGUGAAGAAGGCCUUCGGGUUGUAAAGCCCUUUUGUUGGGAAAGAAAAGCAGCAGGUUAAUACCCCGCUGUUCUGACGGUACCCAAAGAAUAAGCACCGGCUAACUUCGUG